rnacentral:rRNA from 1 species
GGAUUUAAAGCUUUGGUGGAUACGGAUUGGCUCGCGUGACAUUAGCUAGAUGGUAAGGUAACGGCUUACCAUGGCUAUGAUGUCUAGGGGUUCUGAGAGGAAGGUCCCCCACACUGGAACUGAGACACGGUCCAGACUCCUACGGGAGGCAGCAGUGAGGAAUAUUGGUCAAUGGCCGGAAGGCUGAACCAGCCAUCCCGCGUGCAGGAUGACGGCCCUAUGGGUUGUAAACUGCUUUUGUACCUGAAGAAUAGGCCCAACGAGUUGGGAUUUGCCGGUAAGGUAUGAAUAAGCAUCGGCUAACUCCGUGCCAGCAGCCGCGGUAAUACGGAGGAUGCGAGCGUUAUCCGGAUUCAUUGGGUUUAAAGGGUGCGCAGGUGGGAAAAUAAGUCAGUGGUGAAAUACUGCCGCUUAACGGUAGAAUUGCCAUUGAUACUGUUUUUCUUGAGUAUGGUUGAGGUAGGUGGAAUGUGUUGUGUAGCGGUGAAAUGCAUAGAUAUGACACAGAACGCCGAUUGCGAAGGCAGCUUACUAAGCCAUUACUGACGCUGAGGCACGAAAGCGUGGGGAUCGAACAGGAUUAGAUACCCUGGUAGUCCACGCCGUAAACGAUGAGUACUAGGUGUUGGGGGUAUACAGCAAGCGGCUGAGCGAAAGCAUUAAGUGAUCCACCUGGGGAGUACGAUCGCAAGGUUGAAACUCAAAGGAAUUGACGGGGGCCCGCACAAGCGGAGGAACAUGUGGUUUAAUUCGAUGAUACGCGAGGAACCUUACCUGGGCUUGACAUCCCGGGAAUCUUUAUAGACUUCUUAGUUUACUAAGACACAGAGACAGGUGGUGCAUGGUUGUCGUCAGCUCGUGUCGUGAGAUGUUGGGUUAAGUCCCGCAACGAGCGCAACCCCUACAGCUAGUUGCCAGCACAUAAUGGUGGGAACUCUAGCAGAACUGCCACCGUAAGGUGAGAGGAAGGUGGGGAUGACGUCAAGUCAGCACGGCCCUUAUGUCCAGGGCUACACACGUGUUACAAUGGUCAGUACAAAGGGCAGCUACCUGGUGACAGGGUGCAAAUCUCUAAAACUGAUCCCAGUUCGGAUCGAAGUCUGCAACUCGACUUCGUGAAGUCGGAUUCGCUAGUAAUCGCGCAUCAGCCAUGGCGCGGUGAAUACGUUCCCGGGCCUUGUACACACCGCCCGUCAAGCCAUGGAAGCUGGGGGUGCCUGAAGUUCGUGACCGCAAGGAGCGACCUAAGGCA